rnacentral:rRNA from 1 species
CCUACGUGUGGCAGCAGUGGGGAAUCUUGCGCAAUGGGCGAAAGCCUGACGCAGCGACGCCGCGUGAGGGAUGAAGGUCUUCGGAUCGUAAACCUCUGUCAGCAGGGAAGAACGGUCACUGUGCUAAUCAGCCGUGAAUUGACGGUACCUGCAAAGGAAGCACCGGCUAACUCCGUGCCAGCAGCCGCGGUACUACGGCGGGUGCGAGCGUUAAUCGGAAUUACUGGGCGUAAAGCGCUCGUAGGCGGGAUGGUAAGUCAAUGGUGAAAUCCCAGCGCUGAACGUGGGAACUGCAUUUGAAACUGGCAAACUGGAGUGUGUGAGAGGAUAGUGGAAUGCCAGGUGUAGGAGUGAAAGCCGUAGAUAUCUGGAGGAACAUCAGUGGCGAAGGCGACUAUCUGGCACAUAACUGACGCUGAGGAGCGAAAGCGUGGGUAGCAAACAGGAUUAGAUACCCGAGUAGUC